UCGAUAAGCUUGAUAUCCACUGUGGAAUUCGCCCUUCUCAAAGAUUAAGCCAUGCAUGUCUAAGUUUAAGCAAUUUAAACAGUGAAACUGCGAAUGGCUCAUUAUAUCAGUUAUAGCCUAUUUGAUAGUACCUUACUAGUUGGAUAUCGUAGUAAUUCUAGAGUUAAUACAUGCUUGAAGAUGUGUUUUUAUAAUACAUUGCAUUUAUUAGAUUGAAACUAAUUUUAAAGUUGAGUCAUAAUAACUGUGCGGAUCGUUUUGUAAAAAGCGAUGAAUCAAUUGGGUUUCUGCCCUAUCAGUUUUGGAUGGCUGUGUAUUGGACAGCCAUGACAUUAACGGGUAACGGGGAAUUGGGGUUUGAUACCGGAGAGGGCGCCUUAGAAAUGGCGACCACAUCCARGGAAGGCAGCAGGCGCGUAAAUUACCCAAUCCUAAUUCUAGGGAGGUAGUGACUAGAAAUAACGAUUCGAGAUGCUUUGCAUUUUGAAAUUGGAAUGAGAACAAUUUAAAUCCCUUAUCGAGGAUCAAUUGGAGGGCAAGUCUGGUGCCAGCAGCCGCGGUAAUUCCAGCUCCAAUAGCGUAUAUUAAAGUUGUUGCAGUUAAAAAGCUCGUAGUUGGAUUGGUGUUGGUUAUGUUUCUCUGGGAAAUUCUCAAAGCGACGUUAACCAAUAUAUUUGGGAUUUGGUCUAGAAUGGCAUUAAGUUGUUGAUUUAGCUCCAGCCCAUCGUUUACUGUGAAAAAAUUAGAGUGUUUAAAGCAGGUUUUAUAACCGUUGAAUACAUUAGCAUGGAAUAAUAAUAUAUGACUCGUAUGGUCUAUUUUGUUGGUUUGCACGUAUGAGUAAUGAUUAAUAGGGACAGUUGGGGGUAUUCAUAUUUGAGCGUCAGAGGUGAAAUUCUUGGAUCGCUGAAAGAUGAGCUAAGGCGAAAGCAUUUACCAAGGAUGUUUUCAUUAAUCAAGAACGAAAGUUAGGGGAUCGAAGAUGAUUAGAUACCAUCGUAGUCUUAAC
rnacentral:rRNA from 1 species